rnacentral:rRNA from 1 species
UACGUAGGGUGCAAGCGUUGUCCGGAAUUAUUGGGCGUAAAGAGCUCGUAGGCGGUUUGUUGCGUCGGCUGUGAAAUCCCGAGGCUCAACCUCGGGUCUGCAGUCGAUACGAGCAAACUAGAGUGUUGCAGGGAGACUGGAAGUUCCUGGUGAUAGCGGGUGAAAUGCGCCAGAUAUCAGGAGGAACACCCGUGGCGAAGGCGGCUCUCGUGGGACGGUACUGACGCUGAAGACGCGAAAGCCGUGGGGGAGCAAACAGGAUUAGAUACCCCU